rnacentral:tRNA from 1 species
GGCCCCAUCGUCUAGUGGUCUAGGACAUUGGAUUCUCAUUCCAAUAACCUGGGUUCGAGUCCCAGUGGGGUCA